rnacentral:lncRNA from 1 species
GGGGAUCCAUAAUAAACCCCAGGAAGAGUAGCUGCUGCCUUGGCAGGAACUAAUGGGGAUCCAUAAUAAACCCCAGGAAGAGUAGCUGCUGCCUUGGCAGGAACUAAUGGGGAUCCAUAAUAAACCCCAGGAAGAGUAGCUGCUGCCUUGACAGGAACUAAUGGGGAUCCAUAAUAAACCCCAGGAAGAGUAGCUGCUGCCUUGGCAGGAACUAAUGGGGAUCCAUAAUAAACCCCAGGAAGAGUAGCUGCUGCCUUGACAGGAACUAAUGGGGAUCCAUAAUAAACCCCAGGGAGAGUAGCUGCUGCCUUGGCAGGAACUAAUGGGGAUCCAUAAUAAACCCCAGGAAGAGUAGCUGCUGCCUUGACAGGAACUAAUGGGGAUCCAUAAUAAACCCCAGGAAGAGUAGCUGCUGCCUUGGCAGGAACUAAUGGGGAUCCAUAAUAAACCACAGGAAGAGUAGCUGCUGCCUUGGCAACAGGAACUAAUGGGGAUCCAUAAUAAACCCCAGGAAGAGUAGCUGCUGCCUUGGCAACAGGAACUAAUGGGGAUCCAUAAUAAACCCCAGGAAGAGUAGCCUUCUAUUAUAAAGGCUGUCAUGGUAACAAGCGUUCUAUUAUAAAGGCUGUCAUGGUAACAAGCGUUCUAUUAUAAAGGCUGUCAUGGUAACAAGCGUUCUAUUAUAAAGGCUGUCAUGGUAACAAGCGUUCUAUUAUAAAGGCUGUCAUGGUAACAAGCAUUCUAUUAUAAAGGCUGUCAUGGUAACAAGCGUUCUAUUAUAAAGGCUGUCAUGGUAACAAGCGUUCUAUUAUAAAGGCUGUCGUGGUAACAAGCGUUCUAUUAUAAAGGCUGUCGUGGUAACAAGCGUUCUAUUAUAAAGGCUGUCGUGGUAACAAGCGUUCUAUUAUAAAGGCUGUCAUGGUAACAAGCGUUCUAUUAUAAAAGCUGUCAUGGUAACAAGCAUUCUAUUAUAAAGGCUGUCAUGGUAACAAGCGUUCUAUUAUAAAGGCUGUCGUGGUAACAAGCGUUCUAUUAUAAAUGCUGUCAUGGUAACAAGCGUUCUAUUAUAAAGGCUGUCAUGGUAACAAGCGUUCUAUUAUAAAUGCUGUCAUGGUAACAAGCGUUCUAUUAUAAAUGCUGUCAUGGUAACAAGCGUUCUAUUAUAAAGCUGUCAUGGUAACAAGCAUUCUAUUAUUAAGGCUGUCAUGGUAACAAGCAUUCUAUUAUAAAGGCUGUCAUGGUAACAAGCGUUCUAUUAUAAAGGCUGUCAUGGUAACAAGCGUUCUAUUAUAAAGGCUGUCAUGGUAACUGCAAUAUUAGUGGAUUGUUUUUUUCUCAAGACUUGAGUGUCAUUUGCAGUAAAGUCCAGGAAACAAAUAACAUUGGAUUGUUUUCGUUAUUCACAAUUCCGAUGAACAAAUAAGGUUUUACAUGUAAGAUGGUUAAAUAAAGAGCAAAAUAAUUGAUCAUUAUUAUAUUAUUAUUUGUGCCCUGGUCCUAUAAGAACUCUUUGUCACUUCCCACGAGCCGGAUUGUGACAAAACCUCACACUCAUUCUUAUGUUUAAUAAAUGUAUCGUAUAGUGUGUGUGUGGCAGACUUACAAUGACGGCAACAACAACAUUUGAGAGUGCCCUGAUCCUGGUGCUAGAGGGGGUACAGCUGGAGGGUGAAUGUUUGAAGGGGUACAGCUGGAGGGUGAAUGUUUGAAGGGGUACAGCUGGAGGUUGAAUGUUUGAAGGGGUACAGCUGGAGGGUGAAUGUUUGAAGGGGUACAGCUGGAGGGUGAAUGUUUGAAGGGGUACAGCUGGAGGGUGAAUGUUUGAAGGGGUACAGCUGGAGGGUGAAUGUUUGAAGGGGUACAGCUGGAGGUUGAAUGUUUGAAGGGGUACAGCUGGAGGUUGAAUGUUUGAAGGGGUACAGCUGGAGGGUGAAUGUUUGUUUGUUUAAUUAGUUAAAACCUGCAUUUCCCACUAGCAUGGCAUGUUUCAUUCAAGGGUUUAUCUUCAUUUUGACAAUUUUCUACAUUGAAGAAUAAUAGUGAAGACAUCAACACUAUGAAAUAACACAUAUGGAAUCAUGUAGUAACCAAAUAAGUGUUAAACAAAUCAAAAUAUAUUUUAUAUUUGAGGUUCUUCAAAGUAGCCACCCUUUUGCCUUGAUGACAGAUUUGCACACUCUUGGCAUUCUCUCAACCAGCUUCACCUGAAAUGCUUUUCCAACAGUCUUGAAGGAGUUCCCACAUAUGCUGAGCACUGGUUGGCUGCUUUUCCUUCCCUCUGCGGUCCGACUCAUCAAAAACCAUCUCAAUUGGGUUGAGGUCGGGUGAUUGUGGAGGCCAGGUCAUCUGAUGCCAGCCUGGAGGUGUGUUGGGUCAUUGUCCUGUUGAAAAACAAAUGAGAGUCCCACUAAGCCCAAACCAGAUGGGAUGGCGUAUCGCUGCAGAAUGCUGUGGUAGCCAUGCUGGUUAAGUGUGCCUUGAAUUCUAAAUAAAUCACAGACAGUGUCACCAGCAAAGCACCCCCACACCAUAACACCUCCUCCUCCAUGCUUCACGGUGGGAACCACACAUGCAGAGAUCAUCCGUUCACCCACACCGCAUCUCACAAAGACAUGGUGGUUGGAACCAAAAAUCUCCAAUUUGGACUCAUCAGA